rnacentral:tRNA from 1 species
GGAGAGAUGCGAGAGUGGUUGAAUCGGACGGUCUCGAAAACCGCUGAACCCGUAAGGGUUCCGGGGGUUCGAAUCCCCCUCUCUCCG